UACGUAGGGGGCAAGCGUUGUCCGGAAUCAUUGGGCGUAAAGAGCGUGUAGGCGGUUCGGUAAGUCGGCUGUGAAAGUCCAGGGCUCAACCCUGGGAUGCCGGUCGAUACUGCCGUGGCUAGAGUCCGGUAGGGGAGCGUGGAAUUCCUGGUGUAGCGGUGAAAUGCGCAGAUAUCAGGAGGAACACCAGCGGCGAAGGCGGCGCUCUGGGCCGGAACUGACGCUGAGGAGCGAAAGCGUGGGUAGCAAACAGG
rnacentral:rRNA from 1 species